rnacentral:tRNA from 1 species
AGAAACUUAGGAUGAUCCAAACCGAAGGCCUUCAAAGCCUUAAACAAGAGUGAAACCCUCUUAGUUUCUG